GUGGUGGCUGGCCGGACGGCAGGGUGCUGCGCUGCGGACGGGGCUCGCGGUGUUCGUGGCGCUGCUGCCGGU
rnacentral:tRNA from 1 species